rnacentral:rRNA from 1 species
GACAGAGGGUGCGAACGUUGUUCGGAAUUACUGGGCGUAAAGCGGGUGUAGGCGGUUCUUUUAGUCAGCUGUGAAAUCCUGCGGCUCAACUGCGGAACUGCAUCUGAUACUGGGGAACUUGAGGACGGUAGAGGUCGGUGGAAUCCCCGGUGUAGCGGUGAAAUGGGCAGAUAUCGGGGGGAACACCAGUGGCGAAGGCGGCCGACUGGGCCGAUCCUGACGCUGAGACCCGAAAGCCAGGGUAGCGAACCGG